UAAAGGCUGAACCAGUAACUUGGAAGAAUGAAAAUGUAUUAGUAAAUAAUACAAUAACGAUUAAUUCGUAUAAAAUUCUAAAUAAGAUAAUGAUAAUGACAAUUUCUUAUUUAUAAGUCUUGACCAAAUUACGUGCCAGCAGUCGCGGUAAUACGUAGAAGACUAGUGUUAGUCAUCUUUAUUAGGUUUAAAGGGUACCUAGACGGUAAAUUAAACUCUAAAUGAGUACUUUUUUACUAGAGUUUUAUAAGAGAAGGAAGAAUUUCUGGAGUAGAGAUAAAAUGCUUUGAUACCAGAAGGACUGGUAACGGCGAAGGCAUCCUUCUAUGUAAAAACUGACGUUGAGGGACGAAGGCUUGGGUAGCAAUAAGGAUUAGAUACCCUAGUAGUCCAAGCAGAAAAUGAUGAAUGUCAUAGGCUAGAUAAUAUAUUUAGUCUAUAAAUGAAAGUGUAAGCAUUCCACCUCAAGAGUAAUAUGGCAACAUAUAAACUGAAAUCAUUAGACCGUUUCUGAAACCAGUAGUGAAGU
rnacentral:rRNA from 2 species